rnacentral:rRNA from 1 species
CAGCACAGGUAUCGAUGUCAGCUAUCGAUACUGCGUAGCAUCAGCGUCGUAUCAAUGAUCAGUGCUGACGAUGACUCACUGUCGACACGAUCAGUUCGUAUGUAGAUCGAGAUCGUGCUAGCGCCUGACGAGCUAGUAGUGUAGCUCGACAGCAGAUAACUGUGUCAGCGUACGAGUACUGAGUCGUCAUAGCUGCUCGACUACGUAGUCGACGCUAGAGUACGCGCAGCUAGCUCACGAUGACUAGCGACAGCGUGAGCAUGUGUGAUCGAUGCACGCGAGACUACUGUCUGACAUCACGAGUUCAGAGAUGAGAUGUGCUCAGACGUGAGACAGUGCUGCAUGCUGUCGUCAGCUCGUGUGUGAAUGUGGUCAGUCCGCACGAGCGCAUCCAUAUCCUUGUGCAGCAGUCGUCGGACUCAAGGAGACUGCCAGUGAUAAACUGGAGGAAGGUGGAGAUGACGUCAAGUCAUCAUGGCCCUUACGACCAGGGCUACACACGUGCUACAAUGGCGCAUACAGAGAGAAGCGACCUCGCGAGAGCAAGCGGACCUCAUAAAGUGCGUCGUAGUCCGGAUUGGAGUCUGCAACUCGACUCCAUGAAGUCGGAAUCGCUAGUAAUCGUGGAUCAGAAUGCCACGGUGAAUACGUUCCCGGGCCUUGUACACACCGCCCGUCACUACAUGUGAGUGGGUGCAUAGAGAAGAUAGGUAGCUUCUCUGCAGUCAGAACAGCCUUAUUAGAGCG